GAUUAAGUUAUUAAGGGCGCACGGUGGAUGCCUUGGCACUAGAAGCCGAUGAAGGACGUUACUAACGACGAUAUGCUUUGGGGAGCUGUAAGUAAGCUUUGAUCCAGAGAUUUCCGAAUGGGGAAACCCAGCAUGAGUUAUGUCAUGUUAUCGAUAUGUGAAUACAUAGCAUAUCAGAAGGCACACCCGGAGAACUGAAACAUCUUAGUACCCGGAGGAAGAGAAAGAAAAUUCGAUUCCCUUAGUAGCGGCGAGCGAAACGGGAAGAGCCCAAACCAACAAGCUUGCUUGUUGGGGUUGUAGGACACUCUAUACGGAGUUACAAAGGACGACAUUAGACGAAUCAUCUGGAAAGAUGAAUCAAAGAAGGUAAUAAUCCUGUAGUCGAAAAUGUUGUCUCUCUUGAGUGGAUCCUGAGUACGACGGAGCACGUGAAAUUCCGUCGGAAUCUGGGAGGACCAUCUCCUAAGGCUAAAUACUCUCUAGUGACCGAUAGUGAACCAGUACCGUGAGGGAAAGGUGAAAAGCACCCCGGAAGGGGAGUGAAAUAGAACCUGAAACCGUGUGCUUACAAGUAGUCAGAGCCCGUUAAUGGGUGAUGGCGUGCCUUUUGUAGAAUGAACCGGCGAGUUACGAUUUGAUGCAAGGUUAAGCAGUAAAUGUGGAGCCGUAGCGAAAGCGAGUCUGAAUAGGGCGUUUAGUAUUUGGUCGUAGACCCGAAACCAGGUGAUCUACCCUUGGUCAGGUUGAAGUUCAGGUAACACUGAAUGGAGGACCGAACCGACUUACGUUGAAAAGUGAGCGGAUGAACUGAGGGUAGCGGAGAAAUUCCAAUCGAACCUGGAGAUAGCUGGUUCUCUCCGAAAUAGCUUUAGGGCUAGCCUCAAGUGAUGAUUAUUGGAGGUAGAGCACUGUUUGGACGAGGGGCCCCUCUCGGGUUACCGAAUUCAGACAAACUCCGAAUGCCAAUUAAUUUAACUUGGGAGUCAGAACAUGGGUGAUAAGGUCCGUGUUCGAAAGGGAAACAGCCCAGACCACCAGCUAAGGUCCCAAAAUAUAUGUUAAGUGGAAAAGGAUGUGGCGUUGCCCAGACAACUAGGAUGUUGGCUUAGAAGCAGCCAUCAUUUAAAGAGUGCGUAAUAGCUCACUAGUCGAGUGACACUGCGCCGAAAAUGUACCGGGGCUAAACAUAUUACCGAAGCUGUGGAUUGUCCUUUGGACAAUGGUAGGAGAGCGUUCUAAGGGCGUUGAAGCAUGAUCGUAAGGACAUGUGGAGCGCUUAGAAGUGAGAAUGCCGGUGUGAGUAGCGAAAGACGGGUGAGAAUCCCGUCCACCGAUUGACUAAGGUUUCCAGAGGAAGGCUCGUCCGCUCUGGGUUAGUCGGGUCCUAAGCUGAGGCCGACAGGCGUAGGCGAUGGAUAACAGGUUGAUAUUCCUGUACCACCUAUAAUCGUUUUAAUCGAUGGGGGGACGCAGUAGGAUAGGCGAAGCGUGCGAUUGGAUUGCACGUCUAAGCAGUAAGGCUGAGUAUUAGGCAAAUCCGGUACUCGUUAAGGCUGAGCUGUGAUGGGGAGAAGACAUUGUGUCUUCGAGUCGUUGAUUUCACACUGCCGAGAAAAGCCUCUAGAUAGAAAAUAGGUGCCCGUACCGCAAACCGACACAGGUAGUCAAGAUGAGAAUUCUAAGGUGAGCGAGCGAACUCUCGUUAAGGAACUCGGCAAAAUGACCCCGUAACUUCGGGAGAAGGGGUGCUCUUUAGGGUUAACGCCCAGAAGAGCCGCAGUGAAUAGGCCCAAGCGACUGUUUAUCAAAAACACAGGUCUCUGCUAAACCGUAAGGUGAUGUAUAGGGGCUGACGCCUGCCCGGUGCUGGAAGGUUAAGAGGAGUGGUUAGCUUCUGCGAAGCUACGAAUCGAAGCCCCAGUAAACGGCGGCCGUAACUAUAACGGUCCUAAGGUAGCGAAAUUCCUUGUCGGGUAAGUUCCGACCCGCACGAAAGGCGUAACGAUUUGGGCACUGUCUCAACGAGAGACUCGGUGAAAUCAUAGUACCUGUGAAGAUGCAGGUUACCCGCGACAGGACGGAAAGACCCCGUGGAGCUUUACUGUAGCCUGAUAUUGAAAUUCGGCACAGCUUGUACAGGAUAGGUAGGAGCCUUUGAAACGUGAGCGCUAGCUUACGUGGAGGCGCUGGUGGGAUACUACCCUAGCUGUGUUGGCUUUCUAACCCGCACCACUUAUCGUGGUGGGAGACAGUGUCAGGCGGGCAGUUUGACUGGGGCGGUCGCCUCCUAAAAGGUAACGGAGGCGCUCAAAGGUUCCCUCAGAAUGGUUGGAAAUCAUUCAUAGAGUGUAAAGGCAUAAGGGAGCUUGACUGCGAGACCUACAAGU
rnacentral:rRNA from 1 species